UGUACACAUGCUCUAUGAGUCACUGAGGAGUUUGAGCUAUCUGAUGAAUAUUGACCCCUAAAAAUGUAUGUCUUCGGCUGAAGACUUUGGUCUUUCCUUGAAGACUUUGAUCGCGAAGAAAUUGUGAUGAAAUUGAUAUUCCUCAUGAAGACAUUGAAGAUGAGGAAUUCGGUGUGUCCUGAAAAAAACACUCUGAAGACUUUGAAGCGUGAAGAUUUACUCUUUCUGUUUCAUUUCUUUACACUUGAGUCAUAGGAACACCGUACUGUUAAAGGGGGUCGAGGUAAAACUAUGGAAUGAUUUUCCUCAUGAUGCUCAACCCAAGCCUAAAUCUACCAAAGCCUCAAAGUGAGGAAUAUGAGAGACAUGAGGACUUUCACAGUUGAAAGUUCCGACUGUUGCCGCGCCAUGCGCCACCUCACCGAUUUUAUCCACCCAACGAUCAUAUUAUUAAAGGGCAUUUAUGUCAAAUCAUGUCAGGAUGCUCCCAGGUUAUAAAUAGCCACCCCCAGAACCACUAGCUGGUUGGCUGCUCCGAGAGAAACUGACACUUGUCAUUAAGAGCAACCCAAAUUCCUCAGAGUCUUCAAGAGAAAAUCAUCAAGUGAGGAAAUGCCC
rnacentral:lncRNA from 1 species